UCCCUGGUGGCUCAAUGGUAAAGAAUCUGCUUGCAAUGCAGGUGACCUGGGUUUGAUCCCUGCUGGGGUC
rnacentral:tRNA from 1 species